ACGCUCGACACCUACGGGGCAGCAGUGGGGAAUAUUGCACAAUGGGGGAAACCCUGAUGCAGCGACGCCGCGUGAGUGAAGAAGUAUUUCGGUAUGUAAAGCUCUAUCAGCAGGGAAGAAGAUGACGGUACCUGAGUAAGAAGCCCCGGCUAACUACGUACCAGCAGCCGCGGUAAUCUGAGCGGGCUGGCAAGGC
rnacentral:rRNA from 1 species